rnacentral:tRNA from 1 species
GAUAGCUCAGUUGGUUAGAGUGUGGUGUUGACAACGCCAAGGUUGCAGGUUCAAUUCCCGUAAGGGACA